AAAAAGAAAAGAAUGGGGAUGGGGCAGGAUGGUGCUAGCAUAUAUAAGACUGAAACACCAAAGUCCUCCGUGGAAGUUAAUGAAUUUCUGGUUAUGAGUUGGAUUCUUCAGCGGAGUAUUUGAGCCAUGCCUUGAGGCACAUACUUCAAGUUGCUGCAUCCAGUUUUAAACUCCAGAUUGAGCUUUACAUAUUAAAUGUGCACAUUUGUUUUCACAUUUUUGAGCUUUGCCAGUGGCACCCUCUCUAAUUAAUCAUCCCGCGGGCUUAGAAAACUUCUGCCCAAUCCUUUCUGAUUUGUUAAAAGAAAGAGAGAAGGUUUUAGUCUGAAAAAGGCCUUAUCUGAUAAACAUCACAUUAUAUGGAUUUUUACAUUUAAGUACAUUUUCUUUUUAAAUCCGGUGGCUUUCCCAAACUAGAAAGAUGGAGUGUUUGCAUACAUCCACCAACCACCAACAUCAGCAGAAAGAAAGCUUGAUACAGUAAAGGAAAGAAAUGGCAAUUUAACAGUUCUUUUAUUUUCCAUUCAGAUCACAUACACAUUAACCAAAUGAGGCCUCACAGCGUGGAAUCUGAUAUCAUAGCAAUGUUUUCAGGAAGCAAUAAUUGAAUACUCCUCAUUAAAAAGGUUCAUAAAAGAAUCCUAUUAAAACCAAUACGAAUAAUAAACCUUGAAAAUGCUGCUUUAAAUUCCAAGAGGAUGGCGAAGAUCUGCGUCAGUAACAGUCUUCCUGUUCAUAGAGUGAUUUUGAAAAUCUCGUGGGCUGAAUUUUUCCAAGCCAAGCAGGCAUCUCACUAUCCAGUGAAAGACCCAGGGACUAUUUUGAAUGCAUUCAAUCCAAGCCUGUGCCUUUCACAGUCAGUUUUCUCCAAGAAUUUAUCCCUAAUCCUGACAGGAUACCCAACCAAAAGGCUAAUUAUUUUUAGUCACUUAAUUAAUAGAUAAUUCUUACAAAGAGCCCAACACCUGAACCCACCAAGUCCUCUUUGCAUGGGCAAAUCCAGCUGGUUUGAUGCACUAAUUUCACUAAAUGAAAAUUUGGACAAAUUUUAUGUUACUGCAAAUAAUGGUAAAUGUAUCCAAUUCAAAAAAUAGUAAUAAAAAGGUUAUUUUUUUGUUCCCUUUUUAAUCACAGAGGCAGCUGUGGUAGACCCCAAAUGCACAGGGCAUAUGGCUCACCUCACCACCCCAGAUGGUGCUACUGGCCCAGCCUUCCCAGCGUCCACCCUGGCAGUCUUUCCUCAUUCCCUUGGCCCUCACCCUGUCUCCUCAGCCUUCCAGCUGCACUGCUAUUGUAGGCUGCUCUUUCUCGACAAUCUCCUCUUAUUUUCUGUGAUGUCUCAGGAUGUUUCUUCUUCUCAGGGGUUUUCCAAGCUUCUUCCACACUCAGGUGCUCAGACGUUUUUAUGGUCUGGCUUCUGAAGGAGAUCAAAAUUCAUAUGGACAGGCAUUUGUGUAUUAGCCAAGAGUUGCUAAUGCAUUUCUUGAUCAUAAGUCUCAGAGAAAUGGGAUGAAAGAUCUUAGAUUUUUAUACACUCUGCUUCAAUGAUUUCUCAGCUUUUCUGAUCUGAAAAGAAUAAAGGACACCUUUUAGCUAAGCACUUUCUGUUUUAUUUCUUAUAAUGCCAUGUAGUGGCUGUUACUGCCAACACAGCAGUCAUUUAAUAAACCCUGAAUGUCUGUAGCAUUUCUUCUCAUUCGUUUCAGUGAGUGCUGUUCUUUUCUGUGUUUAUUUUUAAUUUUUUUUUUCCAUGCAGUAUUUCUUGCACCCUCUUAUUACUCCUCAGCCUUUGGAUUCUAGAUCAGUGGUUCUCAAACUGCCUGCAUCAGAACACCUGAAGGGCUUGUACAACACAGAUUGCUGGAUCUCAUUCCCAGAGUUUAUUAAUUGUUAGGUCCAGGUGGGCCAGGGAAUUUGCAUUUCUA
rnacentral:lncRNA from 1 species